UAAGCGGAGGAAAAGAAACUAACAAGGAUUCCCCUAGUAACUGCGAGUGAAGCGGGAAAAGCUCAAAUUUAAAAUCUGGUGGUCUUUGGCCAUUCGAGUUGUAAUUUAGAGAAGCGUCUUCCGCGCUGGACCGUGCACAAGUCUCCUGGAAUGGAGCGUCAUAGAGGGUGAGAAUCCCGUCUUUGGCACGGACACACCAGGGCUUUUGUGAUGCGCUCUCGAAGAGUCGAGUUGUUUGGGAAUGCAGCUCAAAAUGGGUGGUGAACUCCAUCUAAAGCUAAAUAUUGGCGAGAGACCGAUAGCGAACAAGUACCGUGAGGGAAAGAUGAAAAGCACUUUGGAAAGAGAGUGAAACAGUACGUGAAAUUGUUGAAAGGGAAACACUUGAAGUCAGUCACGUCGACCGAGACUCAGCCUUGCCUUGGCUUGGUGUACUUCUCGGCUGACGGGUCAGCAUCAAUUUUGCCCCUUGGAUAAUGGCGAGGGAAAUGUGACACCUUUACGGUGUGUUAUAGUCUCUCGUCGCAUGCAAGGGUUGGGAUUGAGGAACUCAGCACGCGCCUUUGGGUGUCGGGGCUUUGCCCACGAUACGUGCUUAGGAUGUUGGCAUAAUGGCUUUAAACGACC
rnacentral:rRNA from 1 species